rnacentral:misc_RNA from 1 species
GUUCCGUAGGUGAACCUGCGGAAGGAUCAUUAUUGUAUAACCGAGGUGCGAGGGCUGUCGCUGACCCGAAAGGUCAUGCACGCCCGAGUGCCCUCACACACAUCCAUCUCACCCCUAUGUGCACCACCGCGUGGGUCCCCCUUUGGCUUGUUCGGAGGGGGGCUUACGUUUUCACACAAACUUUGUAUGCAGUGUAGAAUGUAUUUUUUGUUUUUGCGAUCACGCAAUCAAUACAACUUUCAACAACGGAUCUCUUGGCUCUC